UAAAAACCUAGAUAAUGUUUUGGUACUGAAUCUUAAAUAAAAUCUUGGUACUAAUUUAGGAGACCUAGGGUUUAGGAGACCACAGUUUUCAUACUUGUGCUAAUUUAAACUUUCUGAGUGACACAGAGGAGUUUAUAAGUCAGCCCUGAAAUAACAUGACUUGUUAUUUGUUUUGCUUUAAAACUUUUUCUCAGAAAUGCGGUGACUCCACCCUCCUUUUCAAGAAACAGGCAAUCAUCUUGGAAUGUUACAACACCGGAACGGGAGAAACACGACUGUAAAUCUAACAUUUCAUUGGCUGUAAAAUUGUUCUUAUACUCAGAUAUAGAACACAGCUUGUGCAGAAGGAUCGUUGCGGCUAGCCUCUACCCCUUCUGUAUCAGGAAAUCCUGGCUGACUUGGAGCAGGAGGAUUUUGUCCUGACACCACUGGUGCGGUGGGAGAACCCUCAUGGAGAAUCAUUCUUUUCUUCUACCUGGAUGUUUGACCCUUGGCAAGGAGCUGGUUGAGCUCUCCUGGGAGGUAGGAAAUGAUAAAUGAAUGCACACAGUGAUUUUUUCCUCUGUUAGC
rnacentral:lncRNA from 1 species